rnacentral:tRNA from 1 species
UCCCUGGUAGCUCAGAUGGUAAAGAGUCUGCUUGCAGUGGAGGAGACCCAGGUUUGAUUCCUGGUUUGGGAA